rnacentral:rRNA from 1 species
UACGGAGGGUGCGAGCGUUGUCCGGAAUCAUUGGGCGUAAAGGGCGCGUAGGUGGCCCGGUCAGUUCGUGGUGAAAGCGCGGGGCUCAACUCCGCGUCGGCCAUGAAUACUGCUGGGCUGGAGCACUGUAGAGGCAGGCGGAAUUCCGGGUGUAGCGGUGGAAUGCGUAGAGAUCCGGAAGAACACCGGUGGCGAAGGCGGCAUCCUGGACCGGCAUUGACGCUGAGGAGCGAAAGCCAGGGGAGCAAACGGG